GACGAACGCUGGCGGCGUGCUUAACACAUGCAAGUCGAACGGAAAGGCCCUGCUUUUGUGGGGUGCUCGAGUGGCGAACGGGUGAGUAACACGUGAGUAACCUGCCCUUGACUUUGGGAUAACUUCAGGAAACUGGGGCUAAUACCGGGUAGGAGCUCCUGCUGCAUGGUGGGGGUUGGAAAGUUUCGGCGGUUGGGGAUGGACUCGCGGCUUAUCAGCUUGUUGGUGGGGUAGUGGCUUACCAAGGCUUUGACGGGUAGCCGGCCUGAGAGGGUGACCGGCCACAUUGGGACUGAGAUACGGACCAGACUCCUACGGGAGGCAGCAGUGGGGAAUAUUGCACAAUGGGCGGAAGCCUGAUGCAGCAACGCCGCGUGCGGGAUGACGGCCUUCGGGUUGUAAACCGCUUUCGCCUGUGACGAAGCGUGAGUGACGGUAAUGGGUAAAGAAGCACCGGCUAACUACGUG
rnacentral:rRNA from 1 species